GUGUUGCGUAGUACAUAACUGAGUGGAAAUAUUUUGCACUGUCUCAUCUGCUUUUGUUGAACCCCCAUUUGUGCAUACACUCUUUCAGGGCGUCUCUGGUAUUAAAGGCUCAGCAGGAUCCCAUGGCCUCAAAGGACAAAAAGGAGAAACUGGCAAAGCCACCUCUGUUAAAGGUGAUAGAGGUCCGAAGGGAGACCCAGGGCUUCGGGGAGAGUCUGGAGAGAGAGGAAUCAAUGGAGAGAAG